rnacentral:rRNA from 1 species
GACGAACGCUGGCGGCGUGCUUAACACAUGCAAGUCGAACGGUGAAGGGACCGGUUUUUGCUGGUUCUGGAUGAAUGGCGAACGGGUGAGUAACACGUGAGUAACCUGCCCCCUUCUUCUGGAUAACCGCAUGAAAGUGUGGCUAAUACGGGAUAUUCUGCGCCUGCUGCAUGGUGGGUGUGGGAAAGAUAUUGUUUCGGUGGGGGAUGGGCUCGCGGCCUAUCAGCUUGUUGGUGGGGUGAUGGCCUACCAAGGCGGUGACGGGUAGCCGGCCUGAGAGGGUGGACGGUCACACUGGGACUGAGACACGGCCCAGACUCCUACGGGAGGCAGCAGUGGGGAAUAUUGCACAAUGGGCGCAAGCCUGAUGCAGCGACGCCGCGUGAGGGAUGGAGGCCUUCGGGUUGUAAACCUCUUUCGCCAGUGAAGCAGGCCUGUCCCUUUUGUGGGUGGGUUGACGGUAGCUGGAUAAGAAGCGCCGGCUAACUACGUG